rnacentral:misc_RNA from 1 species
AGCUCAGGUCGCAGCCCCGGUCCGCAGACCACCGUCCGAGCCGCCGCAGCGGCCCCAGGACCCUCGCUUAGCUCUCGGUCGUCCCUCUCCUUGUAAAUAAGCUAGCACCAGAGCUCAGGUUGCAGCCCCGGUCCGCAGACCACCGUCCAAGCCUCAUAGCGGCUCCAGGACAGCACCUAGCUCUCGAUCAGCCCUCCUCUGUGAUAAAAUCAGUCAGCUCCCAAGUUCGUGCCAAAACCAUUAUAUGUAUGUGUUUGUUAUAAUGUACAUUAAAUAUUUUUGCAUUCUACCUCAUUGCUUGUUGUGUUUGCACAAAAUGAUAAUUUAAUAUUGUGGUUUGUGCAAAUUCAACGUAUUUUGUUUUCUACAUGCAUGUCCAGUGUAUUAUAAAAAUUUAUUCUCAUGUACGUGUUUAUGUUGCGCUACAACUAUCCCUCGUAAGGUUUCAAAUUCCCCCUCUGCGCAUGCGCACGGGAGCCCCCUUUUUACCCAUAAGCCCCGUGUCUCUCCAUUCCUCUCCCAAAGCUAGAAGGACAACAACACUCGCUACAAAAUUGCCAUACCCGCCAGCCCACCCUCUCUUCACCGGCUUAGGUGCUCACCUUUGUACCAUUUUGCUGCUGCUUUGUAAAUAUGUACAGUUUUCAAUUUUGCCUUUUAUUGUCAGGGGCUGACUGAUUGGCCUAUCAUUGGCCAGGCUAUUUCCACUCAUCUAGAGUGUCCUUUUCUCCCCCAAGUCCAAACCAGAGCUCAGGUCGCAGCCCCGGUCCGCAGACCACCGUCCGAGCCGCCGCAGCGGCCCCAGGACCCUCGCUUAGCUCUCGGUCGUCCCUCUCCUUGUAAAUAAGCUAGCACCAGAGCUCAGGUUGCAGCCCCGGUCCGCAGACCACCGUCCAAGCCUCAUAGCGGCUCCAGGACAGCACCUAGCUCUCGAUCAGCCCUCCUCUGUGAUAAAAUCAGUCAGCUCCCAAGUUCGUGCCAAAACCAUUAUAUGUAUGUGUUUGUUAUAAUGUACAUUAAAUAUUUUUGCAUUCUA